rnacentral:rRNA from 1 species
GACGAACGCUGGCGGCGUGCCUAAUACAUGCAAGUCGAGCGCUCAAGGGUGGUACUUGUACCAACUGGAUGAGCAGCGAACGGGUGAGUAACGCGUGGGGAACCUGCCUUUGAGCGGGGGACAACAUCUGGAAACGAAUGCUAAUACCGCAUAAAAACUUUAAACACAAGUUUUAAGAGUGAAAGACGCAAUUGCAUCACCUAAAGAAGAUACCGCGUUGGAUUAGCUAGUUGGUGAGGUAAAGGCCCACCAAGGCGAAGAUACAUAGCCGGCCUGAGAGGGUGGUCGGCCCCCUCGGGACUGGGGCACGGCCCCAGCUCCUUCCGGGGGCAGCCAGAGGGGAUCUUCGGCCAUGGGCGGAAGGCUGGCCGGGCCACGCCGCGUGGGUGGAGGAAGUUCUCGGGUCGUUAAACUCUGUUGAUAAGGGAGAACGUUAGUGGGAAUGAACAGCUCAUCAAGUGACGGUAACUACCCAGAAAGGGACGGCUAACUACGUG